CAGGUGUCAGGAAGGGUUGACCUGGCGACCAGAUGACAGAAAGGUAGGAGGGUGUCCUUGUUAGCUUGUCGUCCCGUUGUAACCCUGAGGCCAGUGAUGUGACUGGAGUGUGAAUUCGCCAUUAAAGGACCGACUCCACCGGAGGACUUCCUGCUUCCCCGAGAAAUUCAGGCGAUCUCGGCCGACUUUGACAGACAGCUGGCCGAGCCAAUGACGGACUUCGAGGACUUUUAACGCGCGUCUGCAGGGCCCGCCGGACAGACGUACGUGGGCGUGCGCACCGCAAGGAUCUGCAUGUGAACCCGGAUGAGUGCCAGCACCUCUUUGUUCCCUGUGAGAAGAGGAC